rnacentral:piRNA from 1 species
UGCGGAGAUGGUCCACACAGGUUUGAAGU